rnacentral:lncRNA from 1 species
GUUAAUUUUGCAAAUUAGAAUUAAGAUAGAAUCUAAUUAGGAUUUAUAUUUUUUAAAUUUGUAGAAUUUUAAAAUGAAAGAAAAAUAAAGAAAGAAAGAGCAAGAAGAGAAAGGGCCAAUUUUGUUGCAAAAGCAAACUGGGUCGUUCUAUUAAGCUCAAUUCCCUUUUUACCCAGCCCAAUCCCGCCAAUUUCAUAUCCGGUCCAACCUCAUUUAAACUAAACGACGCCGUUUUAGUAACGGCAAUCUUGGCUGUUCAUUUCCCCAAUCCAACGGCCCUCAACUCACCACCAUUCCCCUUUAUAAUUAUCCGAAACUAGACCCCCCCUCCCUCCCCACCCCUCACUCACCCACACUACUCUCUCUCCACACNCCCCCCCCUCCCCCCCCCCCAAACCCUAGACUCCACAUAACUCGUCUCUCUCACACUUUCUCACCUCCGCCGUCCGCCACCCACAGGAAAUCGCCUACAGCGGCGGCGACACCCCAAACCACCCCAAAAUUGACACCAAAUAAUCUCUAACACCCCCUAAUCAUCAUCCUACCACCAAUUUCCCCAAAAUCCCCACCCAUCUUCUCCAAUUUCGGAUCUAAGAAAAUCAGAAAACCUAAAUAUGGUUUUUUCCCCGGAAAUUUCAAGUAUGUUUUGGUUCAAACUUACAUGAGUCAAUUGCUCUUGACACGAGCAAUCGAUUCAUGUUAGUUUGGUUCAUUUCGAAGCUCAUCGGAUUCUGGCCAACCCACCACUGACCGGUCAAGUUUCAUCGCCAUCGUUCGUUGAUUCGCCUCAAUCAUCGACUCAGCUUUUGGCCCAAAAUCAGUAAACCCCUUCUCUCUUGUUCCUUUGCUUCUUUUUUCUAAUUAUCAGUUAGGUUUAAUUUUUGAUUGUUUUGUUUGAUUGAUAGGAUUAUCUAGUUAAUUACAUGUUAAUUAGUUUUAAUUGCAUAAGUUGUUGGUUUAAUCAAUUUUAAGUAAUUAGAUGUUAAAACAAGUUAAUAGCUAAUUGGUUUGGUUUUACAUUAUUGCUUUUGUUUUAGCAAUGGGUUGUUUAUCAUUAUCCAUAAGUUUAAAAGGGACGUUUGGAAUUGGAAAUGGGUAGUUGAGUCUAUUGUUGAACUUGUUUGCUCUUCUGGGGUAGCUGUUUGUAAUUAACAAAAACUAAAGGAGUCAAAGGGAUCUGGAAAAUUAGGAAAUCUGGUUUGGUUGUUUGGGGAAGUCUCUAGAAGGGACUAAAGUGCAGGCAAAAACAUAUAGAGAAUAUCUGGAUAAGACAACUGUCCCAACAGCUCUCCAUUUUCAGUUUUAAAAGAUGCUUUUUUCCUGAAAUUUAGGAGUGGCCUGCUGAGAAUUAUUCCUCAUCCUUAGGAGCACAUGUCAGAUUUUAUUCCCUAUAUAUAGACCUCUUAUUUUUCACAGAUGAGGAAUACUCAGCUUCAUUCCUCUCCAAAUACAAUCAAGAAUAGACACAGAUUUUAGAAGGAAUUCUCUGAAAAUUGGAUCCUCUUUUCAUUUUUUCUGAGACUGCUUUCUUCUGGAGAAUACUGAAAAAUUCCAACGAGUCUUUUUCUCUGUUAAAUUGGCUAUAUAAAUUCUGGUUUGCUUCAAAAGAGUAUGAGAUAUCUAAAAUCUUUUGCUGUCAUUCUGCUCGUUUGGAAGAGAUUUAAGGUUGUUUUCUCUGGUUUGCUGCUGUUGAAUACUGGCUGAUUGGUAGUUGAUCUUCAUAUCUGGUUUUUCUUUGACCUUUAUUUGGUCGUGGAUCUAAUGUUUGAUUUCAAGUUACUAGGUAUGUGACUAUACCUUUGUAUUUUGCUGUUAAGAUGUUAAUCGAAAAUCUGAGUUACAUGUUAGUUUGUGAAUCCAUGUUAUUUGAUAUGAGAUUUAUCCACACUGAGUGGUCCAGUUGUGAUGUGUUUGUUGUCUCUGCAUUAUGAAGUUAGUAAUCCUGAUUGUUUUCAAUAUGUUUCUGCAUUUGUUUGUUUGUUUGGUUGAUAUUUGAAAUGCAUUUGAAUCCAGCCCUGUUGGAAAUCUUAUUUUGAUUAUCGUUUGGGACUGGUAAGUUAUGCAAAGGAUGUGAGAGCUUAUGGAGUCAGUUGAAGAUGUGAUGAUUGGGGUUCAAAAUUGUGAAAUUCCAACUUUGAGAUUCUUCUGUUCGUAACUCUGAGUUAGUCAUUUUAGAUUAGUUGUUCAAGCUAUGAUGUAACUCUUACUAUUAACCUCUCUUAGAUAGGUUUGAAGCAUGUAAAUGAACGAACUAUCCGUGUGCUGAAUCCAAUUUCUUUCGGUGCAUGAAGAGCGUUAUUUUAGGAUUUGUGUUGUCCUUUGCAUAAAUGGCGAGCUUUUGGGCCAGACUUGUACAGGCAGCCCAGUAUGGACAAGUCUGGACAUCUCAGGUGCUUUAACUUGGGAUGUUGAACCCAAUUUUCGUUUGUUCUGUUUCAUUUUGUGUAUUUCUCUUCUUAUAAUAAUAGCAGCUUAAUUAAUCUGCUUCUUUCCAAUUGAUGUGAACAAGUAAAUGCUUAGCCGUUUGCUUUAGGCGCGUUUAAAUAAAUCAUCGUGACUAUAGAUAUGGUUCCCGUGGCAUAGUCAUGAUACGUAAUCCCCAAUUCGAGUGCACAUUUCAUGUGACCCGACCCUAACUUCAAACAAUAAUAAAAAU